rnacentral:tRNA from 1 species
UGUAGCUCAGGUGGUUAGAGCGCACCCCUGAUAAGGGUGAGGUCGGUGGUUCAAGUCCACUCACACA